rnacentral:tRNA from 1 species
GCGAGGGUGCCAGAGCGGUUUAAUGGGGCGGCCUGCAAAGCUGUUAUUCGAGGGUUCGAAUCCCUCCCCUCGCU